CGGCAACAGCUCAAAUUUGAAAUCUGGCCCCCAGGGCCCGAGUUGUAAUUUGCAGAGGAUGCUUUUGGCGCGGUGCCUUCCGAGUUCCCUGGAACGGGACGCCAUAGAGGGUGAGAGCCCCGUCUGGUCGGACGCCUAGCCUGUGUAAAGCUCCUUCGACGAGUCGAGUAGUUUGGGAAUGCUGCUCUAAAUGGGAGGUAUAUGUCUUCUAAAGCUAAAUACCGGCCAGAGACCGAUAGCGCACAAGUAGAGUGAUCGAAAGAUGAAAAGCACUUUGAAAAGAGGGUUAAAUAGUACGUGAAAUUGUUGAAAGGGAAGCGCUUGUGACCAGACUUGGGCCCGGUGGAUCAUCCAGCGUUCUCGCUGGUGCACUCCGCCGGGUUCAGGCCAGCAUCAGUUCGCCGCGGGGGAAAAAGGCUUCGGGAACGUGGCUCCUACGGGAGUGUUAUAGCCCGUUGCAUAAUACCCUGGGGCGGACUGAGGUUCGCGCUCCGC
rnacentral:rRNA from 1 species